AAUGACCCAGAAAUGUUUUACAGGCAUCUGGUGAUGUGCAGCCAUCACAUUUGGAGAGUAAGGUUGCUUGUCCAUUGUGCAGUCAACUAUUUACAAAAGACGACAUCUAUGUGCAUGCAAGUGUCUGCGGGGAGAGCAACACAAAUGAGGGAGAUGCAGAUAUUAGUGAGGACACCGAUGAGCACUUCGGCAG